rnacentral:rRNA from 1 species
AUUGAACUCGCUGUGAAGAUGCAGUGUACCCGCGGCAAGACGGAAAGACCCCGUGAACCUUUACUAUAGCUUGACACUGAACAUUGAGCCUUGAUGUGUAGGAUAGGUGGGAGGCUUUGAAGUGUGGACGCCAGUCUGCAUGGAGCCGACCUUGAAAUACCACCCUUUAAUGUUUGAUGUUCUAACGUUGACCCGUGAUCCGGGUUGCGGACAGUGUCUGGUGGGUAGUUUGACUGGGGCGGUCUCCUCCUAAAGAGUAACGGAGGAGCACGAAGGUUGGCUAAUCCUGGUCGGACAUCAGGAGGUUAGUGCAAUGGCAUAAGCCAGCUUGACUGCGAGCGUGACGGCGCGAGCAGGUGCGAAAGCAGGUCAUAGUGAUCCGGUGGUUCUGAAUGGAAGGGCCAUCGCUCAACGGAUAAAAGGUACUCCGGGGAUAACAGGCUGAUACCGCCCAAGAGUUCAUAUCGACGGCGGUGUUUGGCACCUCGAUGUCGGCUCAUCACAUCCUGGGGCUGAAGUAGGUCCCAAGGGUAUGGCUGUUCGCCAUUUAAAGUGGUACGCGAGCUGGGUUUAGAACGUCGUGAGACAGUUCGGUCCCUAUCUGCCGUGGGCGCUGGAGAACUGAGGGGGGCUGCUCCUAGUACGAGAGGACCGGAGUGGACGCAUCACUGGUGUUCGGGUUGUCAUGCCAAUGGCACUGCCCGGUAGCUAAAUGCGGAAGAGAUAAGUGCUGAAAGCAUCUAAGCACGAAACUUGCC